rnacentral:lncRNA from 1 species
GGGGGGGGCCGCGCCUCCAAUAAUUCAGCCAUGAUGGAUGGUGAUGACUGAUGAGCUCAGGGAGGCGUCAUGAUCACGCACGCCGCCACAGCCGUGGAUCGAACGCGAGCUCUCGCGUUCCACGGCUGGGUUGGGACGACUUGGGACAGCCGAGCUGAUUUCAAGCUUCUUUUAGCAAAACUUCUUACAGAGGCUGCAGUUUUUCUUGUUUUUUGUUUUGUUUGCU